GGGCAUGUAGCGCAGUUGGUAGCGCGCUCGCUUAGCAAAUAACUAAUCCAAAGUUGAUUACUUGCGAGAGGUCUUGGGUUCAAUUCCCAACUUGUCCA